rnacentral:snoRNA from 12 species
GCCUCCGAUGAUGAACAACUGUGUGUUUUUUUCUGAGUUGUUUCCAUGCUGAAAAUAUAGUGGAGACCUGAACUGAGGAGGC